UACAGAGGGGGCAAGCGUUGUUCGGAAUUACUGGGCGUAAAGGGCGCGUAGGCGGCCUGCUAAGUCGAACGUGAAAUCCCCGAGCUCAACUCGGGAACUGCGUCCGAUACUGGCAGGCUUGAAUUCGGGAGAGGGAUGCGGAAUUCCAGGUGUAGCGGUGAAAUGCGUAGAUAUCUGGAGGAACACCGGUGGCGAAGGCGGCAUCCUGGACCGGCAUUGACGCUGAGGCGCGAAAGCCAGGGGAGCAAACGGG
rnacentral:rRNA from 1 species